UUGCAUUUUAUUAAAUGGAUUGUAACAAUAAGUAUAAUUACAGCUUUUCUUCCACUAUUUUUAACUCAGUUUGAAACUUCAAAUGCGAUAUAAUUUUGGCUUGGACCAUCUAAGCUGACUGACAUCAACUUGCUAUAAUUUCUGUUUAUAUUACAUCGCAAUUCGAUGACACUCUGGCAUCGCAAUUCGAUGACACUCUCAUUCGUUUAGGAUUUUCAAACAACCUGGUCUCUUUUAAAAUACUUUUAAUUUGUUCUUACGUGGUUUUCCAGAUGUAGUGACG
rnacentral:lncRNA from 1 species